UGCUCGAGUGGCGAACGGGUGAGUAACACGUGAGUAACCUGCCCUUGACUUUGGGAUAACUUCAGGAAACUGGGGCUAAUACCGGAUAGGAGCUCCUGCUGCAUGGUGGGGGUUGGAAAGUUUCGGCGGUAGGGGAUGGACUCGCGGCUUAUCAGCUUGUUGGUGGGGUAGUGGCUUACCAAGGCUUUGACGGGUAGCCGGCCUGAGAGGGUGACCGGCCACAUUGGGACUGAGAUACGGCCCAG
rnacentral:rRNA from 1 species